CACGUAGGGCGCAAGCGUUGUCCGGAAUUAUUGGGCGUAAAGAGCUCGUAGGCGGUCUGUCGCGUCUGCUGUGAAAACUCAGGGCUUAACCCUGAGCUUGCAGUGGGUACGGGCAGACUAGAGUGCGGUAGGGGAGACUGGAAUUCCUGGUGUAGCGGUGAAAUGCGCAGAUAUCAGGAGGAACACCGGUGGCGGAGGCGGGUCUCUGGGCCGUAACUGACGCUGAGGAGCGAAAGCAUGGGGAGCGAACAGG
rnacentral:rRNA from 1 species